CGGUCUCAUUAGAAGGUAGGAAAAAUGUGCCAUCCUCCUCUUCUAAUAAUUCUACUUAGGGGAUCGUGGAAAAGGGAAAUCAUGGAUAGAAUGAAGGAAGUCACGAAACAAUGGGAAGACUAUCAAGUUGCAAAGAGCUCCAUGGAAGUUCUUGAGGCCCAUGUGAGCCAUAAUUCCUUCUUCAACCAAGUCCCUCAGCAUGGUGGAACUCCUCCGAUUGGUUUGGAGGUCGAAGACGGCAGCGGAAUUUCAAGUAAGGCACCAGAUAUACCCAAGGAUGGACAUAAGGAGUCAGGCAAAGGUACGGAACUUAUGGUCUAGGCGGAAGCCUCUGGGGCUAUAGGGGGUAACACCCAAUCUUCUGUUUGAAGUUUUUCUUGGGUCUUUAAGGGUCGUCUUCUCUGUUUUGGUAUCUAAUGAAUAUUGUAGCUUGAAACUGUAGAGGAGCUGAGGGUAAAAAUUUUUUCUACUCUUAUUAGAAAUCUUAGAAAGGAAUUUGAAGUGAAUUUUGUCAUCCUGCUGGAGACCCAUAUCAGUUGUGUUCGGGGAGAAAAGGUUAGAAACAAAUUUGGGUUAGAUGGUAGUUUUGUAGUGGAGGCUAGAGGGCAAUCGGGAGGGAUUUGGUGUAUGUGGAAUUCGAAUUUCUGGAAAGUGAAUGUGCUAAAUCAUAACUCCUAAUUUGUUCACAUGAAGAUUGAAGAUAGGAAUUCAGUGUAGUGGUUUCUAACAGGCGUCUAUGGGAGUCCUAAUAGAGGUUUCAGGAAAUCUCUCUGGGAGGAUCUUCGCAGUAUUAGCAGGGAUGCCAAUUUGCCAUGAUGCGCCAUUGGCGAUUUUAACGCUAUUUUGAAUGAUCAUGAACAAAGUGGGGAGUCUCUGUUGUGGUAUGGAAGGGCUUGCCUUGAUUUUAAUGCCUGUUUAUUUUACUGCGGCCUUAUGGACCUGGGGUACUCGAGAUGUUCGUAUACUUGGAAAAGAUGUUCUCUGGUGGAAAGGCUUGAUAGGGUAAUUUCUAACCUUGACUGGCAAAUCACCUUCCCAGAGGUAGUUAUCCAACAUUUACCGAGUCUAAAGUUUGACCAUUCUCCUCUCCUUUUGCGCCUUACUUCUCAGGGUGCACCAAAUAAGGGAAGGAGGCCUUUUAGAUUUUUAGCUGCUUGGUUGGAUCACCCUGAUUUCGAUAAUGUUGUUAACAGGGGAUGGAAUCUCCAGGACUCUUGGCAUACUUGCAUGGAAGAUUUUCAGUAGGAGUUAAAGCUUUAAAAUCAUAAUGUCUUUGGUAAUAUCCAUCACAGAAAAUAAAAAUUUUUGAAGAGGCUUCAAGGCAUUAAGAACAGUCUCAUUAUGAACCCGAAUCUUUAUCUGGAGAAAUUGCAGAAGAAGCUUUGGGUGGAAUAUGAGGAGAUCUUGACCCAAGAGAAACUGCUCUGGUUCCAAAAAUCUUGUUGUAAUUGGUUGGAGUUUGGGAACCGUAAUACCAAAUUUUUUCCAUGGCUCAUGGCCCGCAAGAGGAGGUAUCGGAUUGAAGCUUUGCAGUAUGAUAAUGGGUGCUAGGUGCGUGACCGCACAACCCUAGAGAGAAUGGCGACCAGAUUCUAUAGCCAGUUAUAUACCGAUAAUGUUCCAGAUACCCCAUUUGUCUUGAGAAAUAAUUUCCCUCUUCUGGAUAGAGAUGAUCUUGCGAGUACUGGCAGUAACAUCUCUCGUAUGGAAAUAAAGGACGCUCUACUCUCUAUGGGAAGUCUCAAGGCUCCAGGGAAAGAUGGGAUUCAGGCAAUUUUCUAUUAGAAUAAGUGGGACAGGGUGGGAACCGACCUUUGUAAUCUGGUUGAAAGAGUUUUUAAUAGGCCUUUGGACGUCCGAGAUAUUAAUGCGACCCUGAUUACCCUUAUUCCAAAGGUCGAGCCUACAGUUAUGUUAAAGCAAAUGCAUCCUAUUUCUCUCUGCAAUGUCUCCUAUAAAGUUAUUACUAAAGUUUUAUCAAGGAGGUUGAGGAAAAUCAUGAAAAAAGUGGUAAAGCCGACUCAAAGUAGCUUUGUUCGGGAGAGACAUACCUCAGAUAAUAUCAUUAUUACCCAGGAAGUCAUUAACUCUAUGCGAAAGAGGAAAGGCAAGAAGGGUUGGAUGAAGGUUGGUUGGGGUUUGGUUGAGAAAAGAGAUAGCUUUUGGGUAAAGGUGCUGAGAUCUAAAUACAAAUGUGGUAAUGGCAUCAUUCUGAACAUAAGGAGGAAACCUAUGGAUUCAAAUCUAUGGAAGGGAGUUUGUUCAGCUUGGAAGGGCGUGGAAAGGAACACAUCUUGGCGUAUAGCAGAUGGUGCAAGCAUUAACUUUUGGAACCAUAAUUGGGUGAUUGGGAUUUGGAGAAACUGAGAUUGGCUCCCAGAGACAUGGGUUAACAAGAUUGCUGCGAUGGCUCCUUUGUCUCCUUGGAAAGAAGCGGAUCAAGUUGCCAGGGAGCUGAGUGCAGAUGGGACCUUUAGUGUGAAAUCAGCCUACGAUUCUCUUGAUACGGGCUCCUCUGCGAAUGAUCAUGUGUUUUGGCAUAUUUGGGAUUGGAAUGGGCCGGAGAUGAUUCAAACUUUUCUUUAGUUACUAACAAAUGAUGCUCUUCUUACAAAUCACAACCGGAGACGGAGACACAGUCCAAUGAAGCAGGGUGUCUGAGAUGCAACACCACUGAGGAAACUGCUCUUCAUGCGCUCAGGGACUGCCUUGCGGCAAGGCUGGUUUGGCGAAUGCUCCUUCCCGUUCAUGGUGACCAAAAGUUCUUCAACUUGGAUAUUCGAGAUGAUAUGCUCAAACCUGGAAGGUAAAGCCCCCUGGUCUACUAUUUUUGGUGUAGGAGUUUCCUCCCUUUGGUAUCUCUAUAACAAGUUUGUGUUUGAAGGCUCUUUUACUAUGCCAAAAGAUGUCGCUGCUUCUAUAAAAGUUCGGGCCAAAGAUAUUUCCAAAUGGUGUAGAAGAAAAGUCAUUCCAAGAUCUACUAAUACCAACUUUGAGACAUGUACCAAAUGGUUCCCUCCCCAUGAAGGUGCUAUUAAGUUAAAUGUGGAUAGUUUGAUUUUAUCUCAUAUUAAUAAUGCUGCGUGUGGGGGUAUCUUCAGAAAUUCGAUGGGAUCUUGCAUCAUGAGCUUCGCUUGUAAUUUGGGGACAGCCUCGAUCAUGCAUGCUGAGUUGUAGGUUAUUAUCAAGGGACUCUAAAUUGCAGUAAUGAAUGAAUUGACUCAUGUGAUUGUGGAAUUGAAUUCACAAAUGGCCAUUAAACUUGCCUGGGAAUGAUGCCCUUUGUCGCACCCGUACUACUCCCUUAUACAGGAUAUUACUAUUCUGGUUCGUCGAAUCCCUCAUGUGAGUUUGGACCACAUCCUCCGGGAAGCUAAUGUUUGUGCGGAUAUCAUGGACAAGAAGGGACAACAGCUUGGUGUUGGAUUACAUCUAUUGAUCAUCCUAUUCCUGAGCUCUAUUUGCCAAUAUUUUUUUAUUAUGCUGGUACUUAUAGAUUUAGAGGUUCUGCGAUGUAUUGUGUUUUUUGUAUUUUGGAGUCCCUGACCCCUUUCCCUCACAAUAAUAAUAAUAAUAAUAAUAAUAAUAAUAAUAAUGGUCAAAUUUUAAUUUGUCUUCUUA